UCUUUCGAUCCACUGAUUUUUUUUUUUUUUGUCACAACUUGUAGAUGUCAUAUUGAUUUCUGGUUGCUACAUUUUCUUGCUGUUGUUUUCUAAUCUCUUGGAUGAAUUUUGAAAAUGAUUAGCUGAUACUGGAUACAUGUAUGAUUUCCUGAUGUUUGAGAGGUUGUGUUUUUUGUUGCGUUUAAUCUGUUGGAUAAUUUGUUAAUCGAUCACUAUUAUCUCCUUUUACAGUUCAUUUACAGUUAAUGUUUUCGUUUUAGAAAGUUAUGUCUGCGAGUACGGUGUUGGUUUGAUAAUUUUAAUUAAGGUAAUAGCCACCGCCUAUAUUGAGCAUUUCGCGCGCGCGCGCGUAUUUAUGGCAUGGUAAGAUUUGGUUAAUUGUAGUUCUUAUAGAAAAUUUUGGUUUUGGCUUGCGAUCAUUUAGUUGCAUUUUUAUACAAAUGGCAAAUCGCUGUGUGGCUGCGGCAACUGUUUCUAGUUCUCUUCCUUCUCUCUCAAAAUAUCGUUAUCAAUAUUAACAGCCUCGGAUUUUCUUAUGUAUGUGUAUUAUGGAGAUGGAAGGUACAGAUGUUUGUAUGGACAAAGAGCCAGAUCGUGUCAUAACAUAUUCCUCUGGAGUAGUUUCCCAUGAUUCUUCUUGUGAAGAUAGCCUCAAUCAUCAAGAUGUUGUGGAGUCAUUUGGCGAAAUAAAUGGGCAUCAUGAUAUCCACAAUUCAGAAGAGGGAAGCGAAGCAAAGGAAUAUGAAGUGAAGGAAUGCACAAAUGAAAAAUCAAUCAAGGUUCCUGAACUUCCUCUUACAGAAAAACCUGACCAGCAGCAAAGUGUGAUCAGCUUGAAUAAUGAGAAAGAGAGACUGGACGAGAAGGUGGUACUAGAAGGAAAGAAUGCUCAUCAAUCUAUGUUAACUGUGAACUCAUUGAAAUCUUCUGCUGGAAAUGCUCGAACAAGACACACUGUUCCACAGCCAUUUGCCUUGGCAACAGAAAGGCGUGCUUCAUCUGGUACUCGACCUCCCAAUGCUAUCGUGGCUGAAAAAUCUAUCAAACACAAUGUUCAGCCUGCAAAUACCAAAUCCAAUCAGCCUGCAUCACCUAGAGCGUUGAGGAAGCCACUGCAACCUAAUAACAAGAAGCAUGCUGAUGAGGAAGAUUCCUGCUCGGUGGUUUCCAUCAGUGCCGCAGCAUCUCGGGCUAUUAAGACAAGAACUACUGUUGCUUCAGCUCCUACAUUUCGAUGCACAAAGCGUGCCGAGAAAAGGAAGGAGUUUAACUCGAAAUUGGAGGAAAAACUUCAAGCUCUGGUGGCUGAGAAGACCGAGUGUGAGACAAGGUCCAAGGAAGAGACUGAGGCCGCUAUCAAACAACUAAGAAAGAGUUUGUUAUUCAAAGCAAAUCCAAUGCCAAGCUUCUACCACGAUGGGCCUCCUCCCAAGGUUGAGCUGAAAAAGCUCCCACCAACUCGUGCGAAGUCACCUAAACUUGGCCGACGUAAGAGUUGCAAUGAUGCAGUUCAUUCAUCCUAUGGAGACAAGAUAAAAGUCAGUUGCGGCAAGGGAAAUGGUCGUCAUACAGACAGCUACAACAGAGAUAUCAUCGCACUGGAUGUCAUUGAGAAUCGAAGCGAUGUCAUUCGCUUCGUAGAGAACAAGCUGAAGCAAGAAGGAGCUUUCCACGAGGUGAUUCCUAUUGAUGUAAAUGGUUCAAAGAAUAUGAAUAUUUCUGUCCAAUCUUGAGUUUGUGACCAACUUCCAACUCGCUUCUAUCAUGCCUACUACGUCUCGCAUUUUCAAGAGUUCAUUGCAGUGGUUUAUGUAAUUUAUGAAAUGUAAAUUUCUGUAAUUUAUAUCGUUUGUUUAUGCGGAAGCAUUUUACUUCCGGACAAAAUACUUAUCUUAUAAUGGCCCUCCCCCUGAAAGAAAAAAAGGAAAACAGAGAGAAAUAGAUCUACUAAGAUGUGGUUCGAGCUAUUGUUUCCUUUGUUACUUUUGUACGUAAAUUAUAGAUUGACCAUUCUUGUUUUGUAGACUUCAAUGUGAAAUUAAAAUGGAUGUUCUUCAAGUGGUUUAUUGCUUUUACGCGACAUGAUUCCAUUGUUUCUGAAUCUAAUUAUGCUUUCUAUCAUACAAGAAAGGAUUCUUGCUCAUCAGUUAUUCACAUGCAUGGACGAUGAGGCAAAACAAGGGAACACAGACAAAUGCAAAAUAGGAAAUGAGCUUGGGAAGUAAUUUCACUCGAGACACCAGUGGCCUCAUGGAUCUUCUUCUACUAUCUCAACUCCCAACUGUCUCUUACGACACAGUCAGCUAUGAGUUGCUUGGAUCCCUUUUCUAAGGUAAAGAGAAUCCUUUUAUCCUUGCUUGUUUCUGUAACAAAUAAUAUGUUUAAUAUCUUGGAUGACCAUCAAGAUCUCAGAAUCCCUCGAGAAAUUUUCUUUUAGUAAGUUUGAAAACUGGUAUAGAGUCCCUUUUCACUAGCACAGGGCUCACACCAAUCUGAAAUGCGAACUCAAUACCUUACAGCUAAAGCUUCUAUAGGUUGCCAAGAGAAAAAGACGCAGCUCCCAUGACACCCUUUUAGAAUCUCAAAAAAUUGCUACAACUCCAAGUUAGCCUUUUCCAGUUGGAUUUAAGGCUGUGUAUGUGUUUGAUUUAGAAACAUUAGGACUAGAUCCUUCCUUCCACCUUGACGGUUUGAAUUGUAAGGUUCCAAAUUGACAUUGGGUCCGUUCUAGUGAUCUAUACUGUAUACCUUUUUACAAAUCAUUAACCUACAAACUUGCAUGAAAUCAGGUUUUUAUAGCCCAUUCCUUUACAUAAUUCAAACCCAAAUUUCUAACCAUUAGUUUCAUAAAACUAAACUUAUUGAAUACAAACUUCCCUUUAAAUUUAUCAGCUCCCUUGUAAAUAUUCUCUUCCUUGACUUGUUUGUGUACGUGAGAUCUCACCUUGAUUGGGGAGGAGACCAAAACAUUUUUUAUAAGAGUCUGGAAACCUCAAAAACCUUGAGGAGAACCCCGAAAGGGAAAGCUCAAAGAUGACAAUAUCGGCUGGCGGUGGGCGGUGGGUUUAGGCUGUUACAGUUUAUUUGAUCUAUUACUCGAUUUCCUCCCAAAGAAAUAUUCUUCCUCGGGUCUUGAGUAUUUAUCUCCCAAAGAAAUAUUCUUCAUCGGUCAUAUUGCCAUUGAAAUCUUUGCCAUACCAAAUUCCUCAACAAUGGAAAAUCUUCGCUCGUUUCGUAUGCCCCGACAUGAGAUACUUGCAAUAUGAUGUUCAAAAUGAGAAAAAUCUAAGGUCUUCAACGGCAGCGAGGGAUCAAGCUCACAGGCCUGAGUUUCUUUUAAAUACUUUCUAAAUAUCGUCAAAUUUACAAGUCUAUUUCCUUCGCUUGUAGUGAUCUUUUUUUCGGUAAGAGCAGUCUUUCACGUAAAAUCCAUUUGUUAGUUUGUUAAUUUUUCUUCUUUUCAUUACAUUUUAUCUAGCUUUUAUUUACUUGUUUGGUUCAUAAAUCAAAUUAUUGAACAAUCUGUUUGCAUAAUUACAGCUAUCUACAAGUUAGCCGACCCUAGGUAGCUUGUUGUUGAACUAACCCAAUUUCAACAAACACGGUCCAACUAUUUUUGUUGUUUCUGUUUUGAUCGUCUUUAUAGCUUAUAGUUGAAAAGUUAGAUUUGGUAGAUGUGGAAAAAGCACAUCCUUUGUAGUACACAACUGACCUUCAAAUCUGUGAGUUUACACGCGCACACAUAUAUAUAAGCCCAUAUGAAGAAUCAUCGCAUUCUCUCAUCUUAGCUCUCCAGAAUUGUUGAGGAGAAUGCAGUCUGGUCCGAGAGCAUCGUUUGAAUAGAUUGAUCUCGGACCAGGCUUCAUUCUCGCCAGCUCUUCGAUUAGCUCAGCAUGCUGUAUUACCUAGUUCAUAUACAACAAGUAAGUUCACAUCUAUUUCUCAAGUGCUUUUGUUUGUUUUUCUUUUUAUUUGUUGGAAUUAUGCACCUCCACUGGGACUGGAAAGAUGCAAGUCGAAGAAGGCAAAGCUGUACUUGGGAGAUUAGACCAGGUACAUUACUUCGAUGAAAAUUUUAUUUUUUUCUUUAAUUUCGUGUAAUUUAUAUUUUUAAAAAUAUAUUAGACACAGAAAAAGAUCUUUUCAUUGGAAAAGAACAUAACUUCUGAAAGAAAAAAAAAAAAGAAAAGAAAAGAAAAGUAGUUUAAUAAUUCAGCUGGUUUAAUAAUUGGGCAGACGCUAUUGUUUAAUUUAGGAUUAAUAUUUAUUUAUUUUGGAAGAAUAAUUUGUAAUUUAGAGGUGGGGUGUACAUGCUAAUUCCUAUUUUCUUGAUUUCGCAAUAAAAUUUUGAUUUUUGUAGUCAUUAAUAAAUGGGAUAAUGAUGUUGUCGGGAUCAUUUUCC